rnacentral:rRNA from 1 species
CCUACGGGGGGCAGCAGUGAGGAAUAUUGGUCAAUGGACGAGAGUCUGAACCAGCCAAGUAGCGUGAAGGAUGACUGCCCUAUGGGUUGUAAACUUCUUUUAUAAAGGAAUAAAACGAGGCACGUGUGCCUUUUUGCAUGUACUUUAUGAAUAAGGAUCGGCUAACUCCGUGCCAGCAGCCGCGGUAAUACGGAGGAUUCGAGCGUUAUCCGGAUUUAUUGGGUUUAAAGGGAGCGUAGAUGGGUUGUUAAGUCAGUUGUGAAAGUUUGCGGCUCAACCGUAAAAUUGCAAUUGAUACUGGCAGUCUAGAGUACAGUUGAGGUAAGCGGAAUUCGUGGUGUAGCGGUGAAAUGCUUAGAUAUCACGAAGAACCCCGAUUGCGAAGGCAGCUUACUAAACUGUGACUGACAUUGAUGCUCGAAAGUGUGGGUAUCAAACAGGAUUAGAUACCCUAGUAGUC